rnacentral:rRNA from 1 species
CGUAGGUGGCAAGCGUUGUCCGGAUUUAUUGGGUUUAAAGGGUGCGUAGGCGGUCUUAUAAGUCAGUGGUGAAAUACGGCAGCUCAACUGUCGAGGUGCCGUUGAUACUGUAGGACUAGAGUACUGUUGAGGUAGGCGGAAUGGACGGUGUAGCGGUGAAAUGCUUAGAUAUCGUCCAGAACACCGAUAGCGAAGGCAGCUUACUAAAGAGUAACUGACGCUGAGGCACGAAAGUGUGGGGAUCAAACAGGAUUAGAUACCCUGGUAGUCCACACCGUAAACGAUGAUCACUAGAUGUUGGCGAUACACUGCCAGCGUUCCAGCAAAAGCGAUAAGUGAUCCACCUGGGGAGUACGCCCGCAAGGGUG